rnacentral:rRNA from 1 species
CCUACGGGGGGCUGCAGUGGGGAAUAUUGCACAAUGGGCGCAAGCCUGAUGCAGCAACGCCGCGUGAGGGACGACGGCCUUCGGGUUGUAAACCUCUUUUAGCAGGGAAGAAGCGAAAGUGACGGUACCUGCAGAAAAAGCACCGGCUAACUACGUGCCAGCAGCCGCGGUAAUACGUAGGGUGCAAGCGUUAUCCGGAAUUAUUGGGCGUAAAGAGCUCGUAGGCGGUUUGUCGCGUCUGCUGUGAAACCCCGAGGCUCAACCUCGGGCCUGCAGUGGGUACGGGCAGACUAGAGUGCGGUAGGGGAGAUUGGAAUUCCUGGUGUAGCGGUGGAAUGCGCAGAUAUCAGGAGGAACACCGAUGGCGAAGGCAGAUCUCUGGGCCGUAACUGACGCUGAGGAGCGAAAGCGUGGGGAGCAAACAGGCUUAGAUACCCCUGUAGUC